CCAAGUCAAGUCUCAAGUCCCUGAGGUGGAGUCCAAGUCAAGUCUCAAGUCUGUGAGGUGGAGUCCAAGUCCCGAAGGUGGAGUCCAAGUCAAGUCUCAAGUCUCUGAGGUGGAGUCCAAGUCAAGUCUCAAGUCCCUGAGGUGGAGUCCAAGUCAAGUCUCAAGUCUGUGAGGUGGAGUCCAAGUCCUGGAGGUGGAGUCCAAAUCAAGUCUCAAGUCCCUGAGGUGGAGGUCAAGUCAAGUCUCAAGACUGUGAGGUGGAGGCCAAGUCAAGUCUCAAGACUGUGAGGUGGAGUCCAAGUCAAGUCUCAAGUCUGUGAGGUGGAGUCCAAGUCAAGUUCUGGCUGAAGAACAGCAGACCUAAAGCACGAUUCUGCCACCACCAUGCUUCACUGUGGGUAUGGUGUUCUUUUUUGUGAUGGUGAUGUGCUUUUUUGUGUGCCAAACAUACCUUUGUGAACGAUUAUACCUUUUUGGAAGUGGUCUCAUCAGACCAUGAAACAUUUCGCCACAUGAUCUGUGGUGAUUUAGUUGAGCUGGGAUGUUCUUUGUGCGAAAGUGUUUCCCUCUAACCGCCCUACCCCACAGCCCACACAUGUGACGAAUACGAGAGAUUGUUGUCACAUGCAGAGCGUAAUCAGUACUUAUCAGAUGUUCCUGCAGCUCCUUUAAUGUUGCUGUAGGUCUCUCAGCAGCCUCUCUGGAAUGUUUUCUUUCUUCUCCUUCUGUAAAUCUUGGCGGGACGUCCCGUUCUUGGUGAUGUCACUGUAGUGCCCCAUUUUUUCACUUGUUGAUAUGAUGGCCUUCACGGUGUUCCAUGGUACAUCUAAUGUUCAGGAAAUCCCCCUCUCCUGAUUGAUACCUUCCAACAAGUGAGAUACCGUGCAUGCUUUGUAAGCUCUUUGUGGUCCAUGGCUUCAGCAGUCAGAAGAAUCCAAGAAGACGUGAAGACAAUCCUACAGAAGCAGCUGGUCUUUAUUUGGAGUUCAUCAGAAUAAUUGCAUUGAUGACAGCUGUAUGAUAAUUACUUUUGAACAUGAGAUCGAAUGUGAUUGGUACAUUUUGAACACAGCCACGCCCCCAAUUAUAAAAGGGUGUGCACAGGUAUACACUCAGGUUACUAUAACUUUUAUUUUCUUUCCUAUUUCUCCCUAAAAUGUUUCUGAUUGUUUUUACACUUAAUGUUUAUACGCUGUAACUUCAUACUGAGGGUGUUAAAAGUUCGGACAUGAUUUAUCUCGGUUUAAGGUUUUUCAGCACAAAAUCCUGCCGCUUCAACAGGGGUGUGUAGACUUUUCAUAUCCGCUGUAUUUGAACAAUAAAAUAAUAAUACGGCUGACAAAAAGAC
ensembl:lncRNA